rfam:Oryza punctata chromosome 7, whole genome shotgun sequence.
UAUAGGAGCACUUCUCUAUAAGUUUUCGUUUUCAAUUUUAAUCGUUCAUCUUAUUUAAAAUUUUUCAAUGCUUAAUACUUUAUUGUUAUUAGAUGAUAAAAUAUAAAUAAUAUUUUAUAUGUGACUUAUGUUUUCUAUUUUUUUCAAAAAUCUUUUAAAUAAGGCGAACAACUAAAGUUAGACACGGAAACUCAUGGUUACGUUUAAA